rnacentral:rRNA from 1 species
AACGUAGGAGACAAACGUUAUCCGGAGUUACUGGGCGUAAAGGGCGUGUAGGUGGUUUAGUAAGUCUGGCGUGAAAUUUUUCGGCUUAACCGGGAAAGGUCGUCGGAUACUGCUGAGCUAGAGGACGGUAGAGGCGUGUGGAAUUCCGGGUGUAGUGGUGAAAUGCGUAGAGAUCCGGAGGAACACCAGUGGCGAAGGCGACACGCUGGGCCGUACCUGACACUGAUGCGCGACAGCAUGGGGAGCAAACAGG